rnacentral:rRNA from 1 species
GUGUCAGCAGCCGCGGUAAAACGUAGGAGGCAAGCGUUAUCCGGAUUUACUGGGCGUAAAGCGCGUGCAGGCGGUUUGGAAAGUUGGAUGUGAAAGCUCCUGGCUUAACUGGGAGAGGUCGUUCAAUACUACCAGACUUGAGGAUAGUAGAGGGAGAUGGAAUUCCGGGUGUAGUGGUGAAAUGCGUAGAUAUCCGGAGGAACACCAGUGGCGAAAGCGGUCUCCUGGACUAUUUCUGACGCUCAGACGCGAAAGCUAGGGUAGCAAACGGGAUUAGAGACCCCGGUAGUCCUAGCUGUAAACGAUGUAGACUUGGCGUCGGCGGGUUUAAAUCCGUCGGUGUCGAAGCUAACGCGAUAAGUCUACCGCCUGGGGACUACGGCCGCAAGGUUAAA